CGUGAGCUCUGACAGGGACGCGUCCCACGUUCAUGGAUUUCAGCGGGCCUGGGCAGUUUUAGAAUUGAACGCGUGAAGGUGUUUGUGAGAUAACGCCGUUUCUGAGCUUUUUGAGUUCUUAUCUUUGACAAAUGGACUUUGUUAAUUCAGGACGUUUUGGUCGGAAGGAUGUAGUUGAAUAUUUACUUCAAAGUGGUGCCAAUGUCCACGCUCGAGAUGAUGGAGGCCUUAUUCCUCUUCACAACGCCUGCUCUUUUGGCCAUGCUGAAGUUGUCAAUCUGCUCUUGCGGCACGGUGCAGAUCCUAAUGCUCGAGAUAAUUGGAAUUACACUCCCCUUCAUGAAGCUGCCAUUAAGGGGAAGACAGAUGUCUGCAUUGUACUGUUGCAGCACGGUGCCGAACCAACCAUUCGGAACACAGAUGGAAGAACAGCUUUGGAUUUAGCAGACCCGUCUGCAAAAGCAGUGCUGACUGGUGAAUACAAGAAAGAUGAACUCUUAGAAAGUGCCAGGAGUGGAAAUGAGGAAAAGAUGAUGUCUCUUCUUACACCAUUAAAUGUCAACUGUCAUGCAAGUGAUGGCAGAAAGUCUACUCCAUUACAUUUAGCAGCUGGGUAUAACCGUGUAAAAAUAGUCCAGCUCUUACUGCAGCAUGGAGCUGAUGUACACGCCAAGGAUAAAGGAGAUCUGGUGCCACUUCACAAUGCCUGUUCCUAUGGUCAUUAUGAAGUAACAGAGCUUCUAGUAAAGCAUGGAGCAUGUGUGAAUGCAAUGGAUCUGUGGCAAUUCACCCCUCUGCAUGAAGCAGCUUCUAAGAACAGGGUGGAAGUAUGUUCUCUUUUGUUAAGUUAUGGUGCUGACCCAACACUGUUGAACUGUCACAACAAAAGCACCAUUGAUUUGGCUCCAACACCCCAAUUAAAAGAACGAUUAGCAUAUGAAUUCAAAGGUCACUCACUGCUGCAGGCUGCAAGAGAAUCGGAUGUAGCUCGUAUAAAGAAACAUCUUUCUUUGGAAACAGUGAACUUCAAGCAUCCUCAGACACAUGAGACAGCAUUGCACUGUGCUGCUGCAUCUCCAUAUCCUAAGAGGAAACAAGUAUGUGAAUUGCUACUGAGGAAAGGAGCCAAUAUCAAUGAAAAAACAAAAGACUUCUUGACUCCUCUGCAUGUGGCAUCAGAAAAAGCUCAUAACGAUGUUGUUGAAGUAGUUGUGAAACAUGAAGCUAAGGUUAAUGCAUUAGAUAAUCUUGGCCAGACCUCUCUUCAUAGAGCAGCACAUUGUGGUCAUCUUCAGACAUGCAGGUUGCUGCUGAGUUCUGGAUGUGAUCCUUCCAUCGUGUCUCUGCAGGGCUUUACAGCCUUACAAAUGGGGACUGAAAGUGUGCAACAGCUGCUACAAGAAGGUAUCCCAUUAGGUAAUUCUGAUGCAGAUCGACAGUUGCUGGAGGCUGCCAAGGCUGGAGAUGUGGAUACUGUAAAAAAGCUGUGUACAGUCCAGAGUGUGAACUGCAGAGAUAUUGAAGGACGUCAGUCUACACCACUUCAUUUUGCAGCUGGAUACAACAGAGUAUCUGUUGUGGAGUAUCUUCUUCAGCAUGGAGCUGAUGUACAUGCAAAAGAUAAGGGGGGACUUGUCCCUUUGCAUAAUGCCUGCUCAUAUGGUCACUAUGAAGUUGCAGAGCUGUUGGUUAAACAUGGUGCUGUUGUCAAUGUAGCUGACUUGUGGAAAUUCACUCCCUUGCAUGAAGCUGCAGCAAAAGGAAAAUACGAGAUUUGCAAACUCCUGUUACAGCAUGGAGCUGACCCUACAAAGAAAAACAGGGAUGGAAAUACUCCUCUAGACCUUGUUAAAGAUGGUGAUACUGAUAUUCAAGACCUGCUAAGAGGAGAUGCAGCUCUCCUAGAUGCUGCAAAGAAAGGUUGUUUGGCCCGAGUGAAAAAGCUCUGUUCACCUGACAAUGUCAACUGUCGGGACACACAAGGACGGCAUUCAACACCUCUACAUUUAGCAGCUGGUUACAAUAAUUUGGAGGUUGCAGAAUACCUGUUGCAGCAUGGAGCAGAUGUGAAUGCACAGGAUAAAGGAGGCUUGAUUCCUCUGCAUAAUGCAGCAUCUUAUGGGCAUGUUGAUGUAGCAGCUUUACUUAUAAAAUACAAUGCAUGUGUGAAUGCUACAGACAAAUGGGCUUUCACACCACUUCAUGAAGCAGCCCAGAAAGGAAGGACUCAGCUUUGUGCCUUGUUACUGGCACAUGGGGCUGAUCCCACUCUGAAAAACCAAGAAGGACAAACACCACUGGACCUGGUCACUGCAGACGAUGUCAGUGCGUUACUGACUGCAGCAAUGCCUCCUUCUGCCUUACCGACUUGCUACAAACCUCAGGUUAUAAGUGUGUCUCAGACUACAGGUUCUGCAGCUGAUUCCCUCUCUUCUGUUCCAUCCAGUCCAUCCAGUCUGUCUGCUGCAAGUAGUCUUGACAAUUUGUCUGGUAGUUUUUCUGAACUUCCCUCUGUUGUUGGUACAAACUGUGCAGAGGGAGCUACUGUUCUGGAGAAAAAAGAAGUUUCAGGUGUAGAUUUUAGCAUUAAUCAGUUUGUGCGGAACCUUGGCCUUGAACAUCUAAUUGACAUAUUUGAGAGAGAGCAGAUAACAUUGGACGUAUUGGUUGAAAUGGGACACAAAGAAUUGAAGGAGAUUGGCAUUAAUGCUUAUGGCCAUAGGCAUAAAAUCAUCAAAGGAGUUGAAAGACUUAUUUCUGGACAACAAGGACUUAACCCAUACCUGACUCUGAAUACUUCUGCUAGUGGAACUAUUCUCAUAGACCUUUCCACUGAAGACAAGGAAUUUCAGUCUGUAGAAGAAGAGAUGCAGAGUACUGUCCGAGAGCACAGAGAUGGAGGACAUGCUGGUGGAGUCUUCAAUAGAUACAACAUCUUAAAGAUUCAGAAAGUGUGCAACAAAAAACUAUGGGAAAGAUACACGCACAGAAGGAAAGAGGUCUCUGAAGAGAAUCAUAACCAUGCCAAUGAAAGGAUGCUGUUUCAUGGCUCCCCAUUUGUGAAUGCAAUCAUUCACAAAGGCUUUGAUGAGAGACAUGCCUAUAUAGGCGGCAUGUUUGGAGCUGGGAUUUAUUUUGCUGAAAAUUCUUCCAAAAGCAAUCAGUAUGUGUAUGGAAUUGGAGGUGGCACUGGAUGUCCAAUUCACAAAGAUAGAUCUUGCUAUGUUUGCCACAGGCAGUUGCUCUUCUGUCGUGUAACAUUGGGCAAGUCCUUCCUGCAGUUCAGUGCCAUGAAAAUGGCUCAUUCUCCCCCAGGACAUCACUCAGUGACUGGGCGGCCCAGUGUAAAUGGAUUGGCAUUGGCAGAAUAUGUCAUUUACAGAGGAGAGCAGGCUUAUCCAGAAUACUUGAUUACUUACCAGAUUAUGAAACCUGAAGCCACCACUGAAGCUUAAGACAAGUUACUUGUGGGAAACCAUCAGACUUUGGAUGCGAAGAUAUCAAUGGCUGCCAUUCCAAUAAUAAGUUUUUUUUUAAAAAAAAGUCCCAUUCCCAGGAGGUGUGGUAGCAAAUGUGAACAAAAUAUACCAGUUUUGACUUGAUAAAGCUUUAAUAAUGUACAGUAUGUUUUUCUAAAAUUUCAGAAAUGUCCUCUUUUUCAGCACUUUAACAGAUACCAUUCCAGGCAUAAACUGGGGUUUGGCUGUACUAAAUUAUAAACAAAAAUUAACUUGAAACAAUGGUUUUAUACAUUACUGCAUUCAAACCUAGCAGAAAUUGUAAUGGUCUAUACAGGAACUCAUUUUACUAAUAUUGUGUUCUUUAAAACACUGCAUUUACACUGAAAACGUUUUCAUUUGUAAAACUGUAAAUAAGAGCUUUUGUACUAGCCUGGUAUUUAUUUACAUUGCUUUGUAAUAUAAGUGUUUUAGAACUGCAAUCUUGUACAAAAUGUUCUUUCCAGAUGUGGGUUUGUUCAUCUGUGUUUUCUCGUGCGAGAUAGAUUUGAAAAGUCAAUUUUUUUCAGGUUUUAUCACUUAAUUGUGAGGGAGAAAGCAAAUUUUAUCUGAAGAGAUUUAGAAAUAUCCAACUUUAGAUUGAAUACGCAAAUUUUUGUUCUGUAUUUUUAUUUAUGAAUAUACAUUCCUGAGAAUGGUGGGCUGUGAAAAUAGAAUGUUCCAGACAAGUACUAAAGUGAUUUUCCACCUACUUCCUAGAGUUGCAUAUUUUAUUUCUGUAAAAUGCCUUUUGAAGUUUUUUAUUUAACUGUAGGUAUAGUUAACCUGUAUCCUCACUUCAAGGCUAGUAGACCUUGCAAGUUACAGUUUUAGUAAAUUAUUUUCUUUGAAUGUAGAUGGAAAAUUAACCUCAAGAAGUUCUUUCUUGAGUUUCUCUUGCUUACAUUUAAGCCAGGAAGGUAAAUAGUUUAUUCCUAAUACGAGAGCAAAACAACUUGGCCUUUUUUGUAUGCUUUUUUUGGUAGAUUAAUCUACUUGUUGGUGCCCUCAGAAUAUGAGCAUUGCAAGGUGGAAAUGUUAAAAGCCAUCCUCUCUCAUCUCCUGUGUCUCGUCCAUGUUAACAUUCAAGCUGUGGUUGAAGCAGAUAACUGCAUGGGUGUGAUACAUACCUGAGCAACAACAGAAGGAACUGUUUAGGUCACUGGUAAUAUUGCAAUAAGCCCAGAGGUUUCUGGCUUUGUGUUGUUCAGCUGCUUUUCAAAAAGGUAACCUUUGCCAGCAUUUGGUAAACUCUUAUUUAUCUCACAAUAAAUUUAUUCAUUUGCACUUACUUACUUCACAAGAAAUCUAUUCAAUUUUGUGGGGCUGUGGACAUCAUAGAUCAAUAGAUGUGUACAGAAAUAGAAUUUCUUACUAGCCUGAUAAAGAAGCUGGUAAGUAAAUUAAGUAGGUAUUGUUUUAAUUAAUGAUAGAGUAAGCUACUUAGCAGUCCAAAAGUGUAAUCUUUAAAUAAAUAAACCUGUAUAUGAUAACCAAUGUCUGAUCAUGGUUCCCUAUUUGAAAGUAUUUUACUGAAGCAUUGCAAACAUGAAAUUAACUAAUUAGAUUUGAAAUUAAAGAGGUUUACUUUGAAUAAUAGGUAUUCAUUAGAGCACUUGUUUUCAUCAAAGUCUAAUUUAGUAUUUAGGGAAAAAACCUACUUAGCAGUUGGGUACUAAAACUUCAAGAUUUAUAAAUAAUAAAAAAAUACAUAAAUAAGUGCAAUUUUUACAGACAGCAGCAUAGUUCCAGUAAAAACAUGAGGCCCCUGAAGCACAUUGUGUCAAAGAUGUUAUUUAAUGCAAAGAUUCUAAACCAAGUAAUCAGACAGUGAAAAAAUCAGACAGAAAAAAAUCUGACUUCAAACUAAAUGGGCUAAUGUUAAAGCUUAUUUCAAAAUAUUAGGAAUGUGAAAAUACAGUAGAAACUGCAAAAUGAUAGGUUUUAAGAAAACAUUCUCCUAUUGGGAGUAAAUCUCUGAAUGGAGAACCAUUUAGCACAUUACUAGAGAGAUGGAUUUCUGAAGAUGCAGAACAGACCUUGAGAAAAAAUGAGAUUUAAAAAAAAGGAAGGGAGCAGAGGUGUGGGUGUAAUUAGCUGAGCAUCUCAGAGUGGUGGCAACUACAUUAACAGAGAAAAUCAGGUCAGUGGUACACCACAAGGUCAAGAAAACAGUCCACACUAAAUUAUAGUGAAAGGCACCAAGUGUCUUGAUAAGGAGGAAAAAUUAGAGAAACAUGCUGCUCUUUUUUGUCAGUGUGUCAGAUUGCUGCAUUUCUGAAAUAAAAAAUUUACAGCGACCCUUCUGUCCAACAUCCUACAUAUAUAUGCCAUGUAAGCAUUUUGGGCAGCUUUAAAAGCCUCUUGGCAUUUGUAUAAUCAGACUCAAAAUGAGGUGGAGAGGCAGAAUGAUGAGCUAGCUCAUUUCAAGCAAUUCUCAAUAGUAGCUCAGAGCAGAUAAGUCCCGGGGGGAAUUCUAAUGGGAAUAACCCAUUAUGGAUAGGACUGGACAAAUAUGGAAACCUGCUUUUUUAUGUAAUUGUAUAUUAAACCAUAUUCCAAAGCACUUCUGAAAUACCACCUGCUAUUAAAAAUGUUCUUAGUCAAUUAUAAAUUUGGAAACACUAAUAAAAACAAAUAUUUAUAAAAUGCAGAAAGAAAUAAUAGUAAUUUCAGACCUGGAGCAGUUAAGUGGAAUAUUUCAGUUAAAAGGCAGAUUUCACACUUAGUGUAAAUAGAUUUAUUCAGGGAUGUGCUUUAAAGUUUUGAAUAGUUUUAUUCAUGUGAGUACCAUGUGUCAGUUGUGGGGACAUGGUCCACCACAUAAACUGAAACCAUGACAAUACUUUGCAAGAGAUACAAGAACCUUGUGGCAAAUUUUAAAAGCCAAGGACUCAUAUAAAAUAGUCCAUAAACUCUUGAGUUUAGAUAUGCCUCCUCCAGGUCUUCUGAGACUUCCCUCCCCUUUCUCAGAAAUACCAGCUGUUCAGUAAAGCAGUUUAACAAAAUGUAUGAGUUAAAUAUUUCAUAUAUCAAGUUUCAGCUGGACUUAGUUUUUUGUAAAGAAGAAAGAAUAAUGGUGUGACUUUGUACAAUUAAUAGCUUAGAUAUUAUUGUGUGAUAGGGUGCAUUGUAAUGUAUUACAGAUGUUUUACUGCAAUAUCAAUAAAUAACAUGUUUUCCUUUAAAAAAAGAAACAAA